rnacentral:misc_RNA from 1 species
CCAAUAGCGUAUAUUAAAGUUGUUGCAGUUAAAAAGCUCGUAGUUGAAUUUCGGGAUUAGUACGCUGGUCGUGCCUUCGGUAUGUACUGGUGUUACUGGUUCCUACCUUCUGACGAACCGUCAUGUCAUUAAUUUGGUGUGGCGGGAAAUCAGGACUGUUACUUUGAAAAAAAUAGAGUGUUUAAAGAAGGCUCGCGCUUGAAUACAUUAGCAUGGAAUAAUGAAAUAGGACGUUAGAUCCUAUUUUGUUGGUUUCUAGGAUUGACGUAAUGAUUAAUAGGGAUAGUUGGGGGCAUUAGUAUUCAAUUGUCAGAGGUGAAAUUCUUGGAUUUAUUGAAGACUAACUACUGCGAAAGCAUUUGCCAAGGAUGUUUUCAUUAAUCAAGAACGAAAGUUAGGGGAUCGAAGACGAUCAGAUACCGUCGUAGUCUUAACCAUAAACUAUGCCGACUAGGGAUCGGAUGAUGUUAUUUUUAAUGACUCAUUCGGCGCCUUACG